ACGCUCGACACCUACGGGGGCAGCAGUGAGGAAUAUUGGUCAAUGGGCGCUAGCCUGAACCAGCCAAGUAGCGUGAAGGAUGAAGGCUCUAUGGGUCGUAAACUUCUUUUAUAUAAGAAUAAAGUGCAGUAUGUAUACUGUUUUGUAUGUAUUAUAUGAAUAAGGAUCGGCUAACUCCGUGCCAACAGCCGCGGUAAUCUGAGCGGGCUGGCAAGGC
rnacentral:rRNA from 1 species